CAGUCGCGCGGUAAUACGGAGGGUGCAAGCGUUGCUCGGAAUUAUUGGGCGUAAAGGGUAGGUAGGUGGUCUUAUUUGUCUGGGGUGAAAGCCUUGAGCUUAACUCAAGAAGUGCCUCAGAAACGGUAAGACUAGAGUUCUGGAGAGGGUCGUGGAAUUCCCGGUGUAGCGGUGAAAUGCGUAGAGAUCGGGAGGAACACCAGAGGCGAAAGCGGCGACCUGGACAGCAACUGACACUCAACUACGAAAGCGUGGGGAGCAAACAGGAUUAGAUACCCCCGUAGUCCCUGUCUCUUAUACA
rnacentral:rRNA from 1 species